GGGAGAGAAAAAGAAUGAACGGGGAGGAGAAAAAGAGAGAGCAUAAAAAUUAAUAGGGGAGUGCAGGUUAGGCAGGAGUGCAGUGAGCACACACGCUGUUGAUCAAUUAGACAGUGAGUAAUCAAAUAACACAGAAAGGAGAACCAUUAGCUCGGAUUACUGCUGCUGACAUUGAACGCUGCGGUGCUUUUUGCCAGAGCACAGCAUUGAAGAGGAAUAAGUCAGCGAUAGCGAACACCACCCUGCACUGGCAACGAGUGACCCACUUGGAUUUUUUACAGGAUGCAUCAGGGUAAAGGAAUGGCCCUUACCAGGAAGUUGACAAUGCAGAUGUUGCAUUGCUGGAUGGUGGUAUGCUGCAGUUGACUGGCCUCUUGCUGCAGCGUCUGAGCUGUGCGGCAGAUCGGCAGACUCGCCACCACCUCCUCUGGCAGCCGGAGGGCGCUCUGACACUGCUGUACGGCAGCGACCUGCUGCUUAAAGCCCUCCAUUUCCACCAGCAGACGCUUAUAAAGGAAAAUGAACCGACUCUGGAGGCGACUCUUGGCGGCUUGCUGCAGCUCUUCUGUGCUUCUGCUGAGGUGUUUCACCUGCUGGCUCCACCCCUCCGUCUGCAACACAUCCGCCAGCUGCCCCUCCCUCUCCCCCAUGGCCUCCAAGUCGCCAUGGAGACCC